CCGGCGCCCAAUCGGGAGGCUCCUUGGGACGGACGGGGGGGACGGGGAGAACUUGGCAGGAGCGAGGAGAGAGGAGAAGGGAGAGGGGGGGGGGGCGGGGGGAGGAGGGGCCGCCCCGCCCCCGCGGGAAGGUGGUGGAGGCCGCGCACCUGCGUGGGGGACGGACGGACGGACACGGGGCGGGAGCGUCGGCGGCCGCGGCCCGACGGGCCCCCCCCCAUCCCCAUCCCCAUCCCCAUCCCCAUCCCUUCGCCGCGCUCGUGCGAGGGGCAGACAAAAAAGCCGCCCCGCGGAGGGAAAGGGGGGAGGGGGGGCAUGUGGGGUGUUAGGGGAAGAGAAACUUUAGGAAAGUCACCCCGCGGGGGCGGGGGAUGCUCCACGGAGCCCCACGUGGGAAAUUUUUCCCCGCGGGAAGGCUUCCGCGGAGGAGCGACGGCUCGCGGGGGCUGCUGCCCCAGGGCGCGCGCCUGUCCCGCGUUAAGCAUCGCGGCGGCGAUGCCAAACACCGCUCACGGGCGCUGCCCCCCCCCCACGCGGCUCGCAAAGUUUUAAGAUGAACGGGUGCGUGACCGCCCGCCUCCCGACACGGCGUCCCUCGCUGACGCGCAGCGGCCGCGGGUUUGCAAGCGCGUCGCGGGGCUGUAAGCGGGAGCCGCGCGGGUCACUUCUCCACGUGGGCAGCAGAAAAUAAACACGAAAACGAACAUCAUCAGGUCGCGGCGCGUGGAACAACCAGCGGGGCCGAAACCCGGGGUGUUAGCUGCGGGCGGCCCUGGCCCCGGCGCAGCGCGCCCGGACUUUUCGGGCAACUUAAACCCACCCCGGGCUCGGCACGGCCGGCUCCCCCGGGAAAGCUUUAGGGAAAAAUAAUAAUGUUUUUUAGGAGGGAAAAAUCUACACGAGGAUCUUCCCAGCAGGUCCGGGCUGCAAUCCGGACCAAAGUCUGCCGGGAGCGCUUUUGCCCCGCCGUGAGCGCGGGUUUCCGCGGCGUGGGGCGGGGAGCGCCCGUACCCCCCGCCGCGGUGGCCGCGGAGGGUCUCCCGGCCGCUGCCGGCGGAGGGGCGAGGCUUCCCGUAGGGAAACCGCCGGAGGCUCGCCGGCGGCGGGGGGAUGGUUUGAGGAGAGGGCGGCAGGUCCUGCGGCGGGACAGGCGGCGGCGGGGCGCUGCAGGGCGCUCGGCGGCAGGACACCAGGAUACACGCAGAGGUGAAGCCGAAUCGUGCAAAUGCUAGUAAAUAAGUGUGUGGCAGGUCCAAGUACUCUCAUACAUAAAAAGAACACGCUGCAACCACAAAGGCCUGAUUCUGCUCUUACUUAUGCUGAUGUGAAUUAAAAACAACUCUACUUAUAUCAAUAAAGCAUCUUCAAUGUAUGUGAGAAAGGAGAACGGGGUCCCUGAUGUGUGUAAUUGCUGAAUUUAGAGCCUUUUCUCGCUUCUCUUUGCCCUGGCUUCUCCUUUCAAAAAUGAAAGCUU